ACUCACAUGUGAACCUAAAUUUAUUCUGCAACAAGCACUAUACAUUCACAGUAAUGCAAAUAGUUAGCUAGUGAACUUUAAAGAGAUUUAAGCAGAAAUUUUAACAAGAAGACGAUUUAUUUAAUUUGCAUUUAUAAAAAUGCAAAACUAAAUUAAUCUUAUUUAACUCUAGAUAUGUUGCUCUCACUGCUCACAAUUUUUAUUUCAUCGGUUUUGUUUGAAAAUUUUGCUACCGUUGAUAUAAAAAUCAUUUUAUAUUCAGCAAGAUUACGCAUAAAAGAUGCUUAUAAGCUUUACAGUGCCUUUUUAUUAUUUUCUCUUUACUGUUUAAUAGUAUAAGUAAUUU